rnacentral:tRNA from 1 species
GCCAGUGUGGUGUAGUGGUUUGAGCAUCAGACUACAACUCUGGAGACCAGGGUUCCAAUUCCUCCUUGGCCA